AACGAACGCUGGCGGCAUGCCUAACACAUGCAAGUCGAGCGAGCAUUUCGGUGCUAGCGGCGGACGGGUGAGUAACGCGUGGGAACGUGCCCUUUUCUGCGGAAUAGUCCUGGGAAACUGGGGGUAAUACCGCAUACGCCCUUUUGGGGAAAGAUUUAUCGGAGAAGGAUCGGCCCGCGUUGGAUUAGGUAGUUGGUGGGGUAAUGGCCCACCAAGCCGACGAUCCAUAGCUGGUUUGAGAGGAUGAUCAGCCACACUGGGACUGAGACACGGCCCAGACUCCUACGGGAGGCAGCAGUGGGGAAUCUUAGACAAUGGGGGCAACCCUGAUCGAGCCAUGCCGCGUGAGUGAUGAAGGCCUUAGGGUUGUAAAGCUCUUUCAGCUGGGAAGAUAAUGACGGUACCAGCAGAAGAAGCCCCGGCUAACUCCGUG
rnacentral:rRNA from 1 species